UACGAAGGGGGCUAGCGUUGUUCGGAAUUACUGGGCGUAAAGCGUGCGCAGGCGGCUUCUCAAGUCAGGGGUGAAAGCCCAGAGCUCAACUCUGGAACUGCCUUUGAGACUGAGAGGCUUGAGUACGGGAGAGGUGAGUGGAAUUCCCAGUGUAGAGGUGAAAUUCGUAGAUAUUGGGAAGAACACCGGUGGCGAAGGCGGCUCACUGGCCCGAAACUGACGCUCAUGCACGACAGCGUGGGGAGCAAACAGG
rnacentral:rRNA from 1 species